CCCUUAGAUGUUCUGGGCCGCACGCGCGCUACACUGAUGAAUUCAACGAGCACUAACCUGUGCCGAAAGGUUCGGGUAAUCUUGUGAAAUUUCAUCGUGAUGGGGAUUGAUUAUUGCAAUUUUUAAUCAUAAACGAGGAAUGCCUAGUAAGCGUGAGUCAUCAGCUCACGUUGAUUACGUCCCUGCCCUUUGUACACACCGCCCGUCGCUCCUACCGAUUGAAUGUGCCAGUGAAAAGUUCGGAUUGGAGAUAGGAAGCGGCAACGUAUCCUAUUUCCGAGAAAAUCUUUAAACUUUCCCAUUUAGAGGAAGGAGAAGUCGUAACA
rnacentral:rRNA from 1 species